GCUGAUAUCUGUUGGCCCUUUAAAAUUUUACCUCCAGAUACUAUCUAUGCAGAAGUUUAAUGCUUGUACUCCUUACUAGGUGGAUUGCAAGUUUGGCUCUUUUGUUACAUAU